rnacentral:rRNA from 1 species
AUUGAACGCUGGCGGCAUGCUUUACACAUGCAAGUCGAACGGCAGCGCGGGCUUCGGCCUGGCGGCGAGUGGCGAACGGGUGAGUAAUGCAUCGGAACGUGCCCAGUAGUGGGGGAUAGCCCGGCGAAAGCCGGAUUAAUACCGCAUACGACCUGAGGGUGAAAGCGGGGGACCGAAAGGCCUCGCGCUAUUGGAGCGGCCGAUGUCGGAUUAGCUAGUUGGUGGGGUAAAGGCUUACCAAGGCGACGAUCCGUAGCCGGUCUGAGAGGACGACCAGCCACACUGGGACUGAGACACGGCCCAGACUCCUCCGGGAGGCAGCAGUGGGGAAUUUUGGACAAUGGGGGGAACCCUGAUCCAGCGAUGCCGCGUGCGGGAAGAAGGCCUUCGGGUUGUAAACCGCUUUUGUUCGGGAAGAAAUCCUCUGGGCUAAUACCCCGAGGGGAUGACGGUACCGGAAGAAUAAGCACCGGCUAACUACGUG